rnacentral:rRNA from 1 species
UACGUAGGGUGCAAGCGUUGUCCGGAAUUAUUGGGCGUAAAGAGCUCGUAGGCGGUUUGUCACGUCGGAUGUGAAACCCUGAGGCUCAACCUCAGGCUGCAUUCGAUACGGGGCAGACUAGAAUUCGGCAGGGGAGACUGGAAUUUUCCUGGUGUAGCGGUGAAAUGCGUAGAGAUCGGGGAGGAACACCAGAGGCGAAGGCGGCGAC